AUUCGCAGUUAGUUCAGUAACGUGGAUGGAGAAUAACGCGUGGCUGGAGGAACAAUUGAAAAAUGGAUAAGAUAAUACAACAAAAGGAUGAUCAAAUUAUGAAGCUGUAGGCCCAAUUAUUGGAACAACCCAAAAUAUUAGAUAACAGCAAAGCUAAGGAUGCUCAAAUUUUGAGUCUACAAGCUCAGCUAGGAGAAAAGAACAAAUUGGAACGGAACAGUUUCCAAACAGUGAAGGAGGUUUUUCAAAACUCUUCCCUAACUGAACGUGAGGAUGAGUUGGCAUUAGGCGAACACAGUCAGUUAUUCAGUCUACCACCUGACAGUGUGUUAAAGUUAAAUUCUGUUAGUGCUGCAGUAAAAGAAUUGUUAGUAAUAAGUCCAUGCAGCGAAGGAAGUGAACAAUUGUGGGACCGUAUUUGGGCUGAAAAUGGGUGUGGUACGGAAACCCAGAAAUAGCAUGAGUUCAACAUAAAACAUG